CGGCUCAUCCCGGGCCAUCAGCGGCGGUAAUACGGAGGAUCCAAGCGUGAUCCGGAAUCAUUGGGUUUAAAGGUUCCGUAGGCGGCCUUAUAAGUCAGCGGUGAAAGUUUUUGGCUUAACCGAAAAAUUGCCAUUGAUACUGUAGGUCUUGAAUUAUUGUGAAGUAACUAGAAUAUGUAGUGUAGCGGUGAAAUGCUUAGAUAUUACAUGGAAUACCAAUUGCGAAGGCAGGUUACUAACAAUGGAUUGACGCUGAUGGACGAAAGCGUGGGUAGCGAACAGGAUUAGAUACCCGAUAGUC
rnacentral:rRNA from 1 species